AACGAACGCUGGCGGCAUGCCUAACACAUGCGAGUCGAACGAGACCUUCGGGUCUAGUGGCGCACGGGUGCGUAACGCGUGGGAACCUGCCCUUAGGUUCGGGAUAACUCCCCGAAAGGGGUGCUAAUACCGGAUAAUGUCUUCGGACCAAAGAUUUAUCGCCUUUGGAUGGGCCCGCGUUGGAUUAGCUAGUUGGUAGGGUAAAAGCCUACCAAGGCGACGAUCCAUAGCUGGUCUGAGAGGAUGAUCAGCCACACUGGGACUGAGACACGGCCCAGACUCCUACGGGAGGCAGCAGUGGGGAAUAUUGGACAAUGGGCGAAAGCCUGAUCCAGCAAUGCCGCGUGAGUGAUGAAGGCCUUAGGGUUGUAAAGCUCUUUUACCCGGGAUGAUAAUGACAGUACCGGGAGAAUAAGCUCCGGCUAACUCCGUG
rnacentral:rRNA from 1 species